rnacentral:lncRNA from 1 species
GUCGAUGGACUCGUUCCUGGAGAAGUUCUUCCCGUCAGUGUUCAGGAAGGAGAAGAACGACACAUCGACGAACCAGUACUGCAAGUUCGACAGCCCGCUCCUGACGGCGUUCACCUCGUCCCUGUACCUGGCGGCGCUGGUGGCCUCCUUCUUCGCGUCGACGGUCACCCGCGUCUUCGGCCGCAAGAUCUCGAUGCUCUUCGGAGGCGUGACUUUCCUCGCCGGCGCCGCCAUCAACGGCGCCGCCAAGGACGUCGCCAUGCUCAUCAUUGGGCGCAUCCUCCUCGGCGUCGGCGUCGGCUUCGCUAACCAGGUACCCCCGACGACGAUCCUCCCGCAUUGAUUUCUCCCGCUCCGCUGCCCGCGGAUUUGGCGACACCAGCGAGAGCCCAAGAAGGGAAGAUCAGAGGGGAAUAAUUCCUCCUGUUCUUCUCUCCGGAUUCCCCUUUUUCCGAUCGAACCUCCAAACCCAGAAGAUAAAGAUAAUCCGCCCAAGAAAAUUCAAGGCUCGUGGAGCCCCCCGGCCCUGAUAUUUUCCCUCAUCCCCGGCUUUCAAUCGUUGAUAGCACCCCGCUCGCCGUGCGUUUACUUUUUUGAAUUCCCGUCGCUGUUGGUCUGACUCGUGGCGCCGAUAAAGUCAAACCUGUCCUUUUCUUCCCCAGACCACGGCGGGCGACGAGCCAGCCGGGGGGCCAUACAGGCAUCAAAUGCGUUCCUUUUCCAUUAUUUUCAUUGUUUCCAUUAUCUUCCGAAGAUUGAAUGAGAUUUUGACGAGGGUAAUCAAAAUAAUUACUCAUUAUUUCGUUAUCUCGGCCCGCGAUUGAUCGUAGUCUUUGGAAAUCUGGUGCAGUCGGUGCCGGUGUACCUGUCGGAGAUGGCGCCGGCGAGGUACCGGGGGAUGCUGAACAUCGGCUUCCAGCUGAUGAUCACCAUCGGCAUCUUCGUGGCGAACCUGGUGAACUACGGCACCUCCAAGAUCAGCGGCGGGUGGGGGUGGCGCGUCAGCCUCGCCGGCGCCGCCGUGCCGGCGCUGAUCAUCACCGUCGGCUCGGUCUUCCUGCCCGACACCCCCAACUCACUCAUCGAGAGGGGGAGGGACGAGGAGGCGCGCACCAUGCUCCGCAAGGUCCGCGGCACCGACGACGUCGACGCAGAGUACCAGGACCUGGUGGUGGCGAGCGUCCAGUCCCGCUCGGUGCAGCACCCGUGGGCCAACAUCGUGCAGAGGAAGUACCGCCCCCAGCUCACCAUGGCCCUCCUCAUCCCCUUCUUCCAGCAGCUCACCGGCAUCAACGUGAUCAUGUUCUACGCCCCCGUCCUCUUCAAGACCAUCGGCUUCGGCGACAACGCCUCCCUCAUCUCCGCCGUCAUCACCGGCCUCGUCAACGUCUUCGCCACGCUCGUCUCCGUCUACUACGCCGACCGCGCCGGCCGCCGCAAGCUCUUCCUCGAGGGCGGCACCCAGAUGCUCAUCUGCCAGGUCCGUCAAUCUCUCUCUAAAUGUCCUCUCUCUCUCUCUCUCUUCUUUCUCUGACCGGGAGGAGGGCCUCUGGUUUUCCAUGGCAGAUUCUGGUGGGGACGCUGAUAUGGAAGGUGUUCGGGAUCAGCGGGGUCGGGAAGGUGGACAAGGGGACGGCCAUCGUCAUCGUCUUCCUCAUCUGCGUCUACGUCUCGGGCUUCGCCUGGUCCUGGGGGCCCCUCGGGUGGCUGGUGCCGUCGGAGAUCUUCCCCCUGGAGAUCCGCUCCGCCGGGCAGUCCAUCAACGUGUCGGUCAACAUGUUCUUCACCUUCGUCAUCGCGCAGAUCUUCCUGACGCUGCUCUGCCACCUCAAGUUCGGCCUCUUCUACUUCUUCGGCGGCUGGGUCGUCAUCAUGACCACCUUCAUCUACUUCUUCCUCCCCGAGACGAAGAACGUCCCCAUCGAGGAGAUGACCCGCGUCUGGAAGAGGCACUGGUUCUGGGGCAAGUUCAUCGACGACUCCGCCGCCGCCGCCGCCCCCACCGCCGCCGACGUCGAGCUCAAGAAGACCACCCAGGUGUAAGUCGCCCUCCGGCGAGCGCCGUUCAUCCCCUCCCCUCGGCCGGGGUGUACCCACAGCCGCCAUCUUUGUGGUCAACCAUGGAUUCCAAAAAGGGCAAAAAACAAGAAAAAAAUUUACCCUGGUUAAUCGUUACUGUUCUCGCCGAUAUCGCCUCUCCCCCGGUCAAAAGGAGCCGAGUGGUCAACCAGUUUGGUCGUCGACGGGGCGUUUCUUGCUGCUAUUUGUGAAUAAAAAAAUGGGCGGCGGGUGCGCAGGCUGUCGCAGUCCAGACAAAGAAGAGUUGCUUGUCUUGGAGAUGGGAGAUGAAGGGGCUUUCUGCGCAGUCGGCUGCGUGCUUGAGGAGCAUCUGGAGUUCAUUCAUUGGGUCCUCUGGACCGCCGCUCACUUCGAACUCAGCGCCGCAACGUGCUCUUCUUUGGAAAUCAGAGAACACCCACGUGAACGCACUCACACGCAUCCCC